CAAAGGCUUGGUCCUGACUUUACUGUCGGCUCUAGCUAGACUUACACAUGCAAGUAUCCGCAUCCCUGUGAGAAUGCCCUCCAGUCUCCCGCCCGGAGGCAAGGAGCUGGUAUCAGGCACGGUUAACACCAGCCCAUGACACCUUGCUUAGCCACACCCUCAAGGGACACCAGCAGUGAUAAAUAUUAAGCUAUAAGUGAAAACUUGACUUAGUUAAAGCUUAGAGGGCCGGUAAAACUCGUGCCAGCCACCGCGGUUAUACGAGAGGCCCAAGUUGACAGACUACGGCGUAAAGAGUGGUUAGGGAAACUUUUAAACUAAAGCCGAACGUCCUCAAAGCUGUUUAACGCUCCCGAGUUAAGAAGAUCCAUUACGAAAGUAGCUUUAUUCAACCUGACCCCACGAAAGCUGUGAAACAAACUGGGAUUAGAUACCCCACUAUGCUCAGCCCUAAAAUUUGAUAGGCCAACUACGCCCCCUAUCCGCCCGGGUACUACGAGCAUCAGCUUAAAACCCAAAGGACUUGGCGGUGCUUCACAUCCGUCUAGAGGAGCCUGUUCUAGAACCGAUAACCCCCGUUAAACCUCACCCUCCCUUGUUAAUACCGCCUAUAUACCGCCGUCGUCAGCCUACCCUGUGAAGGACUAGAAGUGAGCAAGAUUGGUAAGACCCAAAACGUCAGGUCGAGGUGUAGUGUAUGAGAGGGGAAGAAAUGGGCUACAUUUCCUAAAUCAGGAAACACGAAUAAUGAACUGAAAUGAGCAUUAGAAGGUGGAUUUAGCAGUAAGCAGUAAAACAGAGUGUUCUGCUGAAAUUUGGCAAUAAAGCACGCACAUAUCGCCCGUCACUCUCCCCGAGCUAAUACAAAAGCAAAUACCUAAAAAACUACAUCUGCAAAGGGGAGGCAAGUCGUAACAUGGUAAGCGUACCGGAAGGUGCGCUUGGAACAAU
rnacentral:ncRNA from 1 species